GCCACUCCCACAAACGUCUACGACCGCACCUACAUAGUUUUGCAUGUUUACAAUUCUAAUUUUGAACAGCCAAUCCGGUUCUUGGUAACAAUUACAAUUAAACGUUGAUUGGUUGCUUAAAAUUAGAAUUGUAAACAUGCAGAAAUAUGUAGGUGCGGUCGUAGACGUUUGUGAGAGUGGC
rnacentral:miRNA from 1 species